rnacentral:misc_RNA from 1 species
GAAAUGCGAUAAGUAAUGUGAAUUGCAGAAUUCAGUGAAUCAUCGAAUCUUUGAACGCACCUUGCGCUCCUUGGUAUUCCUUGGAGCAAGCCUGUUUGAGUAUCAUGAAAUCUUCAAAGUAAAUCUUUUGUUAACUCAAUUGGUUUCUACUUUGGUAUUGGAGGUCUUUGCAGCUUCACACCUGCUCCUCUUUGUUCAUUAGCUGGAUCUCAGUGUUAUGCUUGGUUCCACUCGGCGUGAUAAGUUAUCUAUCGCUGAGGACACUGUAAAAGGUUGCCAAGGUAAAUGCAGAUGAACCGCUUCUAAUAGUCCAUUGACUUGGACAAUACUUUUAUGAUCUGAUCUCAAAUCAGGUAGGACUACCCGCUGAACUUAAGC